CGCAUUGUUAGUUAGCAGUAGGUCGUUACACCUAAUAAGCCUGUUAACAGUGUAAUCAGUAAUUUUUUGCCAAAAAUAAGACAAAAAUAUCUCGAAUCAUCUUUAAUGUAUUUAUCUUUCAAGAACUGAUCAUCCAGUUUGAAUGUGUAGGUUCCAUUAUAAAUACCUGUUUUGGUUAUCUUCAUAGUAUCAGGAUAUACUAAGCAGUACAGAAUGUACAGAGCAACAUCGCCUUCUCUGCAGGUUGCAUUAUCCUCGUCUGAAAUUAGCGAUUUCAUUGAUCAGCUCAUGGAAAUUCUCCAAACUGUAUUUUCCAGAGAACGUAGAGAAGAUUUAUUUAAUGUUUUUGAAGGCGAAUUUAGAUUGUUCAUCGCUGAUGAAUUACAUAUGGCAGAAGACUGGGGCGAUGUAUUUCUAAUUAUGAAUGAAUGCGUGCAGGUGAUAGACAGUCUGAAUCCGAACGUACAAUAACAGUUAACCUGCCUCGGCUACCAAGUCUGCUCUUCAUUAUGGAUUGACAUCUACGAAAUGCAGCAUAUCUUUCGUCACAUGACAUGUCCACGUAUCAAAACAUGCGGCCAAGGCAUUUUGUGAAAAUUGCAGCAGUGAAUUUUUUCCGCAGAGCUUCUCUUUCAGCAUAAGAGACAAACUGAAGUCACAUGGAGCGAGGUCAAGAUUUAAGUAUUGUGUGACACAGUAAGAAGUUAAGCAGCGGGCAGGAGUUGUCGUGGUGUACAGUGCCUUCUUUCUUAUCUAUUGUCGUCGUGUAUUCAUGUUUAGUGCCUUAGGACAAUGCACACGAGGGCCCUAAGGGAAAAGGUGUCUUCGUGGAAUACGUUUUUCAAAGAAAACUUGCUCCUAUUAGCAUUACACAUGGUGAAAGGCACAAAAGUGUCUACCUGGCGCCUUCUGCCGAGGUAGAUGCAUUCCACUUGUAGACAGCCAAUUUGCAUUACUAACUCGAUAUGUAUUGCAGCUGAAAUUCGAGGACUGAAACCUAGUAUACAAAAUUGACAGUAAUUUUGGAAGAAUAGAAUGCUUGUAAUAUACAAAAAUACCUUUGAUAUAUACAAUAAUAAUACAUAAUGAUGUUAACAGCACAUAAUGAUUAUGUUAACAGCACAUAAUGAUCACCGUUAUGUUCACAGCUGAUUUGGCUUGGCAGAAUUUUUCUUCGGAAGAGGCGAGACUGGGUGAUUUCGAAAUACUUGUUCUGGAUUUCGUAGGAAAAGUUUUAGAGCAAAAAUUACACAACUCAUUUCAAUUUUUAACUCUUAAGUACUCUGAAUCACUCACACUUCUGUUGUACGCAAAUCCCUUAUGUUCUACUAUAAACAACUGAUCAGUAAUUAAAACCGAAUCAUCUGCUACGUUUACAAACUCUUACCACCAGGGACGGAUAGGAUUCUUCUAACCUGUGUGGCCAACUUGCAUAAAAGUGCCGGCAUCUUUUUUGUGAGUUUUCCAUUGUUCACCAAGACAUAAGGGGUGCCUGGCACCCUUGUAAUUUUCAGUUUAUAUCAUGAAGAAUGCUCCUUAACCACGAUGCCUGAAUUAAGCUGAUGAGUUUAAUAUGUUUACCAUUAGUUUAUCAUCCGAAUUUAUUUACUUUUUUUUUUUUUCAUAUGAAUUUUUUUUAACGUCGUUAAAUCCUUUUCUUCCAUUAAAUCUGUUGCUCUUUGUUUCAGGAAUCCUAAAAUUAUGCUUAAUGUGUCAUCCAUUUUUUUCUAAACUAAGCCUACAGCCAAUGGCGCCUUGCGAAAUUUGCCGAAUUCCCGAUAGCCCAUCCUCCCUUGCUUGUCACAGAUACUUCUUUCAUUCAGAGAGUCGUCUGCAGUUUCAAUUUUCGUUUUCGCAUUGUUGAACUCAAAGGGAAAAAAAAAUAUAUUCUAUAUAUGAAACUUUCACUUCUUAUUUCUUUAAAAAUUAGAGUUUUGAUAUCUGUGACAAAAGCGACAUAAUACUAAAAUAAUAUUUUCAUUCAUGUUAUUAAUUUCUCUUUUCUCUUCUUCUUUCGCUUAUUUUCAUUUUUUCCCGUUUCAUUGGUUUAAAUUAAAAAUUUUUACUCUAACUUUUAUUUACGCAUAUAUGUAUAUUUAUUUUACCGGAGAGGAGGGGUUGCAUAGGUCCUUGCCCAUUUUCUUUUGUAAAAUAAUUCAGAAAUUAAAUCAAUUUUCAAAUUCAUUAAACUAAUAAUAGAACCAAGCAAAAGAUGGCGCCACCUAAUGCGGCUCAUCUGAGCGCAGACAAGUGGUAAUUUAAAUACCAAAUCAAUCCCAAAACUGAAAUAUGAGACCUUGGUUCUACUUGUGUUUUCCUGUUCUAUAGACUGAUACGCGAUCAGACCUGAGAAUAUAAUGAUUGUGAAAUGAGUGCAUUAUUUAGACUUUGAAUUAAAAGGACGCAUAUAUAACUUUAGAAUAUAUUCAAACUUAUUCAUGUUUAAAAGGAAUAUUGAAAAGGUAGAUACGUUUAACAUCAGCACUUGAAAAUUUGACAUAGCUUUCUGAAUUUAUGUUUUAUGUAAGUGUGAUAUAGUUCAAUAAGGUAAUUUUAGCACAGCAUUAGUAAAAGGAUUAUGAAAGAAAGAUAUAUAAGAGAAUCCUUUGUAAGAAAUCCUUUUUAAUAUAGUUAAAAAUGG